GAUUCGGAGUUUUGUGUACUGCGGGGCGCAUCGAUAACGUCCAGGGAGUAUCAAUGUUGGGGUGGUGGCGGGGGAAUGGCGGCCAGGGGCAAUGCGCAGGAAUGCUCCGCGCUCGAAACGUCUGCAUGCAACGACGAAAAAAAUGAAACGCCAAAAGAGAAGGAGAGCAAAAAUCGUAGUACAAAACGCGUGUUAGGCUUUUUAGGAUUUUCCGUUCAACGUGCGCAUCACAUUAAUAUUACACGUAUUUUCCUUAACGAUUACUGUUUGCGCACGCAGAGCUGUAACCACACAGUGUGAUGUAUUUACUCGUUUUUUCACUUCAUUAAUGAGUUAUUACUCAAUCACAUGACGUUUACGUGACAAUGAACCGUAUCUGUUCAAUUUUUUUCCUUUUUUUAUGCCGUACAAAAAUUAAUGUAAUACGUUUUAAUUCACUUUCGUUACCUAUUAAUCACGAGCUGAACUUUGCCGAUGGAAGGUGAGUGUCGAAUGACCUACUAACGAAAACUUAUUAGAGUAGCGUACGUUUUUCAUAGAUCAGUAGCUGAAUUAGAUGUCGUAGAGUUGAUUGUAGUGAAAUAUAUGACCCGGACAGUAAACUUAGCCGGGUAAUUUUUGUUUUAAUAGAUUCUACGGAGUGGGUCAUUCGUGUUUUUCUACUCUAAACCACCGGCAUUUCCUCGCUGAGAUAAUAAAAAAACAAAAAAACUUGCGUUCUAGAACACCACGAACGAACCCGAUCGUGUAUUUGUGUUUAAAUGUUUAUGCAAUUGGCAUCUGCAUUUGUGUAGUUUUGUACUUACAUUUUGUUCCACAUAUGGUAUCAAGUUUACAAUAGAAAAUAAACAAUGCAGUAGGCAUUGUAUGAUUAACAUGACGACACGUAAAGGCUGGGAGUUGAAUUUAAAAUAAACUUAAUCAAACAAUAAGUGUAAUAAUAGUAAUACAUUACAUUCUGUUAUCUGUGCCUUACAAUUUACUAGUGAAACAACUGUGUUCUACUUUUUCGUAGUUACAAAUGUUGUAUUUUUAGUGAACCUAUCUUUGUAGUAAAGUAAUCGAUGUACCAAAGUUUUAUCAAUAGAUAAAAACCGAAUAACAUUGUCUACGCAGUAAAAUGUGUAUAAUUCAUAGUAAUGAUAGAAUAACCAUUGUCUCUCUCGUGCGUAAUCAAUUGAUGUGGUAGAAAAAAGUACUUAUUUUAAAACAAAACAAAUUAUUACUGAUAGUAUGAGAUAUGUGACAUUUGGAGUAAUGAACGCCAGAGCGCGUUAGCACAAUAGAUGUUUACAAGUUUUCCAUUUCAAAUAUUAAAGAAAAAAUAGAGAAAUCGGAUACGAAUGUCGGGUGCUAUUGCGUUAUUGUAUUGCGCAUUAUUAAAAUCUUAAUUUUGUUGAAAUAAUUAACAACUUUGUUUUUACAUUUUUUAUUUUAAUUCUACUUUUGUGUUAUGGGAAGACAACAUCGAUUUUACCUAUUAAAUGUCUCACAAUCAACAAAAAAUGUGUUUUAUUUUCUCUAUAGAUCGGUGUCGUUGAGAAUUACAACAUUUUUCAGAGACUUCAUUUUACCAAUAAAAGUAAUUUAAGAAAGUAUGAAUGCUUCAUUCUAUCAGUCAAAAAACUAUUAACACAGAGUUUUUUAUUUAAAGAUGUCCGACACAUUGUCAUAGCCUCAAGGCGACUAAAGCGGCUGUACCCUCUCCAAUGGCCAAUUGUUACUAUUAACAGUAUAAGAUUUUGGCGUUCGUAAGACCAUAUGAAAAGUAAAAAAAAAAAAAUAA